rnacentral:lncRNA from 1 species
AGGAGGAGAAGGACUAGAAGGUCCUUGGCCUUCUCCUCCUCCUCCUCAUCCUUCUCCUUCUUCUCUUCUUCUUCUUCUUCUUCUUAUUUCUUUCUUUGCAUUUUUCUUAUUUCUUCUCCUCUUGUUGUAGCUAAAUUACCUAACUAUGUCUUUUUGGAGCUAAAUGGGCUAAAUAUCCCAUUUUAGAGGAAAACAAGCUAAGUAUA